UGGGAAUCUGCCCUUAGGUUCGGAAUAACAGUUAGAAAUGACUGCUAAUACCGGAUAAUGUCUUCGGACCAAAGAUUUAUCGCCAAAGGAUGAGCCCGCGUAAGAUUAGCUAGUUGGUGGGGUAAAAGCCUACCAAGGCGACGAUCUUUAGCUGGUCUGAGAGGAUGAUCAGCCACACUGGGACUGAGACACGGCCCAGACUCCUACGGGAGGCAG
rnacentral:rRNA from 1 species